rnacentral:rRNA from 1 species
AUUGAACGCUGGCGGCAUGCCUUACACAUGCGAGUCGAACGGCAGCACGGGUGCUUGCACCUGGUGGCGAGUGGCGAACGGGUGAGUAAUACAUCGGAACGUACCUUAUCGUGGGGGAUAACGCAGCGAAGGCUGUGCUAAUACCGCAUACGCCCUGAGGGGGAAAGCGGGGGAUCGCAAGACCUCGCGCGAUUAGAGCGGCCGAUGCCUGAUUAGCUUGUUGGUGGGGUAAAAGCCCACCAAGGCGACGAUCAGUAGCUGGUCUGAGAGGACGAUCAGCCACACUGGGACUGAGACACGGCCCAGACUCCUACGGGAGGCAGCAGUGGGGAAUUUUGGACAAUGGGGGCAACCCUGAUCCAGCAAUGCCGCGUGAGCGAAGAAGGCCUUCGGGUUGUAAAGCUCUUUUGUCAGGGAAGAAACACCGGCUCUAACACAGUCCGGGAAUGACGGUACCUGAAGAAUAAGCACCGGCUAACUACGUGCCAGCCGCCGCGGUAA